rnacentral:tRNA from 4 species
GCUACGGACUGAAAAUCCGUUGGCUUUUUAGACCAUGAGGGUUCAAGUCCCUCUACCCCCA